UACGUAGGGUGCGAGCGUUGUCCGGAAUUAUUGGGCGUAAAGGGCUCGUAGGCGGUUUGUCGCGUCGGGAGUGAAAUCAUCUGGCUUAACUGGGUGCUUGCUUUCGAUACGGGCAGACUAGAGGUAUGCAGGGGAGAACGGAAUUCCUGGUGUAGCGGUGAAAUGCGCAGAUAUCAGGAGGAACACCGGUGGCGAAGGCGGGACUCUGGGCCGAUACUGACGCUGAGGAGCGAAAGCGUGGGGAGCAAACAGG
rnacentral:rRNA from 1 species